rnacentral:rRNA from 1 species
GGAUGAACGCUAGCGACAGGCUUAACACAUGCAAGUCGAGGGGCAGCGGGGAGGUAGCAAUACUUCCGCCGGCGACCGGCGCACGGGUGAGUAACACGUAUGGAACCUGCCCGUAGCAGGGGGAUAAGCGGAAGAAAUUCCGUCUAAUACCGCGUAAUAACUCCGAGGGGCAUCCCUUGGGGUUUAAAGGGUAACACCGGCUACGGAUGGCCAUGCGGCGCAUUAGCUAGUUGGCGGGGCAACGGCCCACCAAGGCGACGAUGCGUAGGGGUUCUGAGAGGAAGGUCCCCCACACUGGUACUGAGACACGGACCANACUCCUACGGGAGGCAGCAGUGAGGAAUAUUGGUCAAUGGGCGCGAGCCUGAACCAGCCAAGUCGCGUGAGGGAAGACGGUCCUAUGGAUUGUAAACCUCUUUUGUCGGGGAGCAAAAGACGCCACGCGUGGCGUUCCGAGAGUACCCGAANAAAAAGCAUCGGCUAACUCCGUGCCAGCAGCCGCGGUAAUACGGAGGAUGCGAGCGUUAUCCGGAUUUAUUGGGUUUAAAGGGUGCGCAGGCGGAAGAUCAAGUCAGCGGUAAAAUUGAGAGGCUCAACCUCUUCGAGCCGUUGAAACUGGUUUUCUUGAGUGAGCGAGAAGUAUGCGGAAUGCGUGGUGUAGCGGUGAAAUGCAUAGAUAUCACGCAGAACUCCGAUUGCGAAGGCAGCAUACCGGCGCUCAACUGACGCUCAUGCACGAAAGUGUGGGUAUCGAACAGGAUUAGAUACCCUGGUAGUCCACACAGUAAACGAUGAAUACUAAUUGUUCGGGGAGAAUGAUCCCUGAGUGAUACAGCGAAAGCGUUAAGUAUUCCACCUGGGGAGUACGCCGGCAACGGUGAAACUCGAAGGAAUUGACGGGGGCCCGCACAAGCGGAGGAACAUGUGGUUUAAUUCGAUGAUACGCGAGGAACCUUACCCGGGCUCAAACGACACAGGAAUACUUUUGAAAGGAGGUAGCUCUUAGGAGUCUGUGUCGAGGUGCUGCAUGGUUGUCGUCAGCUCGUGCCGUGAGGUGUCGGCUUAAGUGCCAUAACGAGCGCAACCCCCAUCGCCAGUUACCAGCAAGUCAAGUUGGGGACUCUGGCGAGACUGCCGGCGCAAGCUGUGAGGAAGGCGGGGAUGACGUCAAAUCAGCACGGCCCUUACGUCCGGGGCGACACACGUGUUACAAUGGCAGGUACAGAGAGAAGCAAUGCGGCGACGCAAAGCGGAACUUGAAAGCCUGUCUCAGUUCGGAUUGGAGUCUGCAACUCGACUCCAUGAAGCUGGAUUCGCUAGUAAUCGCGCAUCAGCCAUGGCGCGGUGAAUACGUUCCCGGGCCUUGUACACACCGCCCGUCAAGCCAUGGAAGCCGGGAGUGCCUGAAGUGUGCAACCGCAAGGAGCGCCCUAAGGUAAAACUGGUGACUGGGGCUAAGUCGUAACAAGGNAACC